UACGGAGGGUGCAAGCGUUGUUCGGAAUCACUGGGCGUAAAGCGCGUGUAGGCGGCCUUCUCAGUCUGGUGUGAAAGCCCGGGGCUCACCCCCGGAAGUGCAUUGGAUACUGGAAGGCUGGAGUACCGGAGAGGAGGGUGGAAUUCCUGGUGUAGCGGUGAAAUUCGUAGAUAUCGGAAGGAACACCAGCGGCGAAGGCGGCCAUCUGGACGGUGACUGACGCUCAGACGCGAAAGCGCGGGGAGCAAACAGG
rnacentral:rRNA from 1 species